rnacentral:rRNA from 1 species
UACGUAGGGGGCAAGCGUUGUCCGGAAUUAUUGGGCGUAAAGCGCGUGUAGGCGGUCCGGUAAGUCAGCUGUGAAAGUCAAGGGCUCAACCCUUGAAUGCCGGUUGAUACUGUCGGGCUCGAGUCCGGAAGAGGCGAGUGGAAUUCCCGGUGUAGCGGUGAAAUGCGCAGAUAUCGGGAGGAACACCAAUGGCGAAGGCAGUUCGCUGGGACGGUACUGACGCUGAGACGCGAAAGCAUGGGGAGCAAACGGG